rnacentral:tRNA from 1 species
GCGGAAGUGGUGAAAUUGGCAGACACGCCAUCUUGAGGGGGUGGUGCUCAAAAGGCAUAGGGGUUCAAGUCCCCUCUUCCGCACCA